AUACGGAGGGUGCGAGCGUUAAUCGGAAUUACUGGGCGUAAAGCGUGCGUAGGCGGUUUGUUAAGUCAGAAGUGAAAGCCCUGGGCUCAACCUGGGAACGGCUUUUGAGACUGGCAGACUCGAGUUGAGUAGAGGGGAGUGGAAUUUCCGGUGUAGCGGUGAAAUGCGUAGAGAUCGGAAGGAACUCCAGUGGCGAAGGCGACUCCCUGGACUCAAACUGACGCUGAGGUACGAAAGCGUGGGUAGCAAACAGGAUUAGAAACCCCAGUAGUCC
rnacentral:rRNA from 1 species